AGGGGAGCCCCCAGGAGGAACUGGCCGAGACACCUGUCCUCCAGCCGUCCUUCAGAGGAGAGUGACAAGCACAGGUGCCCCCUGGGGACAUGUCCCUCUUAGAGCUCUGUCCUGUGGACUUUUUCUGGAUUUUGAAAAGCUGACUGUUGAACAUCACAGUGUGGGGCGGUGAGCUGUCUCCCCCGUUUGUCUCAGUUCUAAUCAUAGCCACCAUGAACCCUUAUUUCUGGUCGCCAGGCAGCCAUUUCCGAGGCUGGGGACAGCGCCAAGUGCACGCCCCACUGGCCCUGUGCUCGGAUGUGGGACAACAACGAUGUGCCAUACAGACUUUCUUUCGUGUGUGCUGGGCACCGGGCUGUGGUCUCUCGCCUCCACGGCCACAGUUCCCCGACCUCUUCACUGCGGGAUGGGAGGCUGGGGCGGUGGCCAGAGUGUCUGCUGGUGCCAGUGCAGCUCUUCUAGAACAGGAAGGGGGCCUGGGCAGGGCAUUUUCCACAGACGCAAGGGCAUGAGACUCCACUGCAGUGCCGGAGGUCCCCAGAGCUGCCCCACUCGUCUGCCAGGGUCUUGGCCCAGUCCAACCCCAUCUCCAACCCUGCUCCUGGCAGGAAGGUUGCUGAAGGUAAGUCCAGCUCCUAGUGUAGUAUGUCAGGCGUGGUGGCGGGGGAGGAGGGGCCGAGCCCGGGACAGCCCUGAGAACGGGAGAGUGGGUCCUGGCAGACUCUGCUGCUGGUGUCCCUCCUGGCCUGGGCACCGAGUGCUCUCCCUUCUUCCUCUCCCCUCGCCGAGCUCCUGCCACUGGGGGGACAAUGGAAGGGCAUGCUCCGGGAAGUUUGGGGGCUCUGGCCUGACUCGAUCCCCAUCCCUUCACCUCCACCCCACCCGUGCCGUGCAUGCCCCGUGGGUCCCUGUCACUGUCUGCUCAUAGAGCAACAACUGACUAGGAGAAUCACAAGGUCAGCCGCUGAGGUCUCCACAGCAAGUGUGGAGCGGGGGCCUUGAGAACAGUGCUCCUCGAUGUCGGUGUGACAUACACAGGAAGCUCCCGUUCCUGUGUCACAUGCUCUUUUGGUGCUGAGGCUAGAGCCAGUGAUAAUAUGUCUGUCCUACUCCAUCUAAUGCAGAGGCCUCAGGACGGCACACAAGAACGAUGGCACAGAUUAAAAGUGACAGAAGGAAAACAAGUAAGGGGCGGUGGAUAGAUCCCCCUUCAGAAGUAAGGCUGAAAGUGGGCUUCACAGCCACAGAUUCACAGAUUCACAGAUUCGCUUGGGAAUGGGCCCUGGGUAUAAUAAAAUGUUUAUGGUCCUCAAGUUCCUGGGACAGAGCUUCAAAAUCUUGCAAUUUCCUGAGUGAUUGGUGUCUUUGUUACGCUAACAAGUGAAUCUUGGUGGUGCCCCAGACAACUUCAGGAUGGGGGCUGGUCACCAGAAAGGUCUCCACCCGAUCAGAGGGCUGGAACCCUCAGGGCCUGGCUGAGGAGGGGACAGGGGCUGGCAGCUCAGCUCCACCACAGUGAACUGAACAUGCUCACGAACUGACACCUCCUAGGAGACCCUGGACACGGGCUAGGACAGCUCCAGGUUGAGCACAGCGACGUGCCAGGAGGGUGACGCGUCCUGACUCCGUGGGGGAGACACGGGAGCUCUGUGUUCAGAACCUUCGCACACCUUGACCUGCGUGUUCCUUUACAAUAAAACUAAUUGUAAAUGUG